UCACUACUAUCGGGGUUCGAUUAAGCCAUGCGAGUCGAGAGGGUUCGGUCCUCGGAGUACUGCUCGUAACACGUUGGAUAACCUGCCCUAAGGAAGGGGAUAACCCCGGGAAACUGGGGAUAAUACCCUAUAGGUUACAGGUGCUGGAAGCUCUGUAACCCAAAGUUCCGACGCCUUAGGAUGGAUCGCGGUCGAUUAAGGUUGUUGCGGGGUAACGGCCCACAAGCCAGUAUCGGUACGGGUUGUGGGAGCAAGAGCCCGGAGUGGAUUCUGAGCACGGAAUCCAGGCCCUACGGGGCGGCAGCAGGCGCGAUG
rnacentral:rRNA from 1 species